CAGGGCCUGCGUCACCUGAGCUGCCUUGGUGGAUUGAACGGCGGCUGCGCCGUUGAAGCCGGCGGAGGCGAGAAGAUGGCGGAUUGAGAGUUGGGUCUGGCGGAGGUGGAGUUUGAAUUGGGGUCGCCGGAGGAGGUGGAGUUUGAAUUGGGGUCGCCGGAGGAGGUGGAGUUUGAAUUGGGGUCGCCGGAGGAGGUGGGGUUUGAAUUGAGGUCGGUGGAGGAGGUGGGCUUGAAAUUGAGGUCGGCGGAGGCUGGUUUGAAUCUGGGUUAGGUGGAGGUGGGUUAAAAUUGGGGGUAGGUGGGCUGGGCUGUGUCAAGGUGGGAUCUGUGGAUGG
rnacentral:lncRNA from 1 species